AUGAACCGUUAUAACCGGCGAUACCCGAAUGGGGAAACCCAGUGUGAUUCGUCACACUAUCAUUAACUGAAUCCAUAGGUUAAUGAGGCGAACCGGGGGAACUGAAACAUCUAAGUACCCCGAGGAAAAGAAAUCAACCGAGAUUCCCCCAGUAGCGGCGAGCGAACGGGGAGGAGCCCAGAGCCUGAAUCAGCAUGUGUGUUAGUGGAAGCGUCUGGAAAGGCGCGCGAUACAGGGUGACAGCCCCGUACACAAAAGCGCAUGUGCUGUGAGCUCGAUGAGUAGGGCGGGACACGUGGUAUCCUGUCUGAAUAUGGGGGGACCAUCCUCCAAGGCUAAAUACUCCUGACUGACCGAUAGUGAACCAGUACCGUGAGGGAAAGGCGAAAAGAACCCCGGCGAGGGGAGUGAAAAAGAACCUGAAACCGUGUACGUACAAGCAGUGGGAGNNNNNNNNNNNNNNNNNNNNNNNNNNNNNNNNNNAUAGGGGAGCCGGAGGGAAACCGAGUCUUAAUUGGGCGUUAAGUUGCAGGGUAUAGACCCGAAACCCGGUGAUCUAGCCAUGGGCAGGUUGAAGGUUGGGUAACACUAACUGGAGGACCGAACCGACUAAUGUUGAAAAAUUAGCGGAUGACCUGUGGCUGGGGGUGAAAGGCCAAUCAAACCGGGAGAUAGCUGGUUCUCCCCGAAAGCUAUUUAGGUAGCGCCUCGUGAAUUCAUCUCCGGGGGUAGAGCACUGUUUCGGCUAGGGGGCCAUCCCGGCUUACCAACCCGAUGCAAACUGCGAAUACCGGAGAAUGUUAUCACGGGAGACACACGGCGGGUGCUAACGUCCGUCGUGAAGAGGGAAACAACCCAGACCGCCAGCUAAGGUCCCAAAGUCAUGGUUAAGUGGGAAACGAUGUGGGAAGGCCCAGACAGCCAGGAUGUUGGCUUAGAAGCAGCCAUCAUUUAAAGAAAGCGUAAUAGCUCACUGGUCGAGUCGGCCUGCGCGGAAGAUGUAACGGGGCUAAACCAUGCACCGAAGCUGCGGCAGCGANNNNNNNNNNNNNNNNNNNNNNUGCUGGAGGUAUCAGAAGUGCGAAUGCUGACAUAAGUAACGAUAAAGCGGGUGAAAAGCCCGCUCGCCGGAAGACCAAGGGUUCCUGUCCAACGUUAAUCGGGGCAGGGUGAGUCGACCCCUAAGGCGAGGCCGAAAGGCGUAGUCGAUGGGAAACGGGUUAAUAUUCCCGUACUUGGUGUUACUGCGAAGGGGGGACGGAGAAGGCUAUGUUGGCCGGGCGACGGUUGUCCCGGUUUAAGCGUGUAGGUGUGUGUUCCAGGUAAAUCCGGUUCACUUUAACACUGAGGCGUGACGACGAGGCACUACGGUGCUGAAGCAACAAAUGCCCUGCUUCCAGGAAAAGCCUCUAAGCAUCAGGUAACACGAAAUCGUACCCCAAACCGACACAGGUGGUCAGGUAGAGAAUACCAAGGCGCUUGAGAGAACUCGGGUGAAGGAACUAGGCAAAAUGGUGCCGUAACUUCGGGAGAAGGCACGCUGACACGUAGGUGAAGUGAUUUACUCAUGGAGCUGAAGUCAGUCGAAGAUACCAGCUGGCUGCAACUGUUUAUUAAAAACACAGCACUGUGCAAACACGAAAGUGGACGUAUACGGUGUGACGCCUGCCCGGUGCCGGAAGGUUAAUUGAUGGGGUCAGCGUAAGCGAAGCUCCUGAUCGAAGCCCCGGUAAACGGCGGCCGUAACUAUAACGGUCCUAAGGUAGCGAAAUUCCUUGUCGGGUAAGUUCCGACCUGCACGAAUGGCGUAAUGAUGGCCAGGCUGUCUCCACCCGAGACUCAGUGAAAUUGAACUCGCUGUGAAGAUGCAGUGUACCCGCGGCAAGACGGAAAGACCCCGUGAACCUUUACUAUAGCUUGACACUGAACAUUGAGCCUUGAUGUGUAGGAUAGGUGGGAGGCUUUGAAGUGUGGACGCCAGUCUGCAUGGAGCCGACCUUGAAAUACCACCCUUUAAUGUUUGAUGUUCUAACGUGGACCCGUAAUCCGGGUUGCGGACAGUGUCUGGUGGGUAGUUUGACUGGGGCGGUCUCCUCCUAAAGAGUAACGGAGGAGCACGAAGGUUGGCUAAUCCUGGUCGGACAUCAGGAGGUUAGUGCAAUGGCAUAAGCCAGCUUGACUGCGAGCGUGACGGCGCGAGCAGGUGCGAAAGCAGGUCAUAGUGAUCCGGUGGUUCUGAAUGGAAGGGCCAUCGCUCAACGGAUAAAAGGUACUCCGGGGAUAACAGGCUGAUACCGCCCAAGAGUUCAUAUCGACGGCGGUGUUUGGCACCUCGAUGUCGGCUCAUCACAUCCUGGGGCUGAAGUAGGUCCCAAGGGUAUGGCUGUUCGCCAUUUAAAGUGGUACGCGAGCUGGGUUUAGAACGUCGUGAGACAGUUCGGUCCCUAUCUGCCGUGGGCGCUGGAGAACUGAGGGGGGCUGCUCCUAGUACGAGAGGACCGGAGUGGACGCAUCACUGGUGUUCGGGUUGUCAUGCCAAUGGCACUGCCCGGUAGCUAAAUGCGGAAGAGAUAAGUGCUGAAAGCAUCUAAGCACGAAACUUGCCCCGAGAUGAGUUCUCCCUGAGACUUAGAGUCUCCUGAAGGAACGUUGAAGACGACGACGUUGAUAGGCCGG
rnacentral:rRNA from 1 species